UACAGAGGGGGCAAGCGUUGUUCGGAAUUACUGGGCGUAAAGGGCGCGUAGGCGGCCUGUUAAGUCGAACGUGAAAUCCCCGGGCUCAACCCGGGAACUGCGUCCGAUACUGGCAGGCUUGAAUCCGGGAGAGGGAUGCGGAAUUCCAGGUGUAGCGGAUGAAAUGCGUAGAUAUCUGGAGGAACACCGGUGGCGAAGGCGGCAUCCUGGACCGGCAUUGACGCUGAGGCGCGAAAGCCAGGGGAGCAAACGGG
rnacentral:rRNA from 1 species